rnacentral:rRNA from 1 species
CGGCAGGCCUAAUACAUGCAAGACGAACGGUAAGUUUGAUAGCAAUAUUGAACCUAGAGUGUCGUAAGGGUGCGUAACACGUAUGCAAUCUACCCUCAACAGGAGGAUAGCUCCCCGAAAGGGGAAUUAACACUCCAUAAGAUCACAGGAUGGCAUCAUUCAGUGAUUAAAACUCCGGUGGUUGAGGAUGAGCAUGCGCAUGAUUAGUUAGUUGGCGGGGUAAUGGCCCACCAAGACGAUGAUCAUUAGGGGAACUGAGAGGUUGAUCCCCCACACUGGCACUGAGAUACGGGCCAGACUCCUACGGGAGGCAGCAGUCGAGAAUAGUCUACAAUGGUCGGAAGACUGAUAGUGCGACGCCGCGUGAACGAUGAAUCCCUUCGGGGUGUAAAGUUCUUUUAUAUGUGAGCAGUGCUUCUUAUAUUAACAGUAUGGGGAGAGAGAUAUUAGCAUAUGAAUAAGCAACGGCUAACUCCGUG